AUUCCCGUUUUCAACUGCGGUCCUCAAGCGUACCCAGCAUGCCCCUGCACUACUCUACGGUCAGCGUUACAAAAGAUUACUUCGGCCAUGAGCAUCACCUGUUCCAGGAGCGACCUAUACUGCUUCUACAUUCCCUCGCCAGUGGCGUCCUGCUGGUAGAGUGGACUUGUCUCCUCGCCCUGCACUACUACUGGUUCUGCAUUCCCGUUUUCAGUUGCGGUCCUCAAGCAUACCCAGCGCGCCCCUGCACUACUCUACGGUCAGCGCUACAAAAGAUUACUUCGGCCACGAGCAUCACCUGUUCCAGGAGCUACUACUGCUUCUACAUUCCCUCGCCAGUGGCGUCCUGCUGGUAAAGUGGACUUGUCUCCUCGCCCUGCACUACUACUGGUUCUGCAUUCCCGUUUUCAGUUGCGGUCCUCAAGCAUACCCAGCGCGCCCCUGCACUACUCUACGGUCAGCGCUACAAAAGAUUACUUCGGCCACGAGCAACACCUGUUCCAGGAGCUACUACUGCUUCUACAUUUCCUUGCCAGUGGAGCCUUGCUGGUAGACUGGACUUGUCUCUUCGCCCUGCACUACUACUGGUUCUGCAUUCCCGUUUUCAACUGCGGUCCUCAAGCGUACCCAGAAUGCCCCUGCACUACUCUACGGUCAGCGUUACAAAAGAUUACUUUGGCCACGAGCAUCACCUGUUCCAGGAGCGACCUAUACUGCUUCUACAUUCCCUCGCCAGUUGCGUCCUGCUGGUAGAGUGGACUUGUCUCCUCGCCCUGCACUACUACUGUUGCGGUCCUCAAGCAUACCCAGCGCGCCCCUGCACUAUUCUACGGUCAGCGCUCCAAAAGAUUACUUCGACCACGAGCAUCACCUGUUCCAGGAGCUACUACUGCUUCUACAUUCCCUCGCCAGUGGAGCCCUGCUGGUAGACUGGACUUGUCUCCUCGCCGUGCACUACUACUGGUUCUGCAUUCCCGUUUUCAACUGCGGUCCUCAAGCGUACCCAGCGUGCCCCUGCACUACUCUACGGUCAGCGCUACAAAAGUUUACUUCGGCCAGGAGAAUCAGCUGUUCCCGUAGCGACCACUACUGCUUCUACAUUCCCUCGCCAGUGGCGUACUGUUGGUAGAGUGGACUUGUCUCCUCGCCCUGCACUACUACUGGCAAGUGUCGUUUACAGGGGAAUCUUAUUAGGACUGUAAUCCAGUAUUUAACAGAUAAGCACUGUGCUGCUAGAGGUUCUGCAUUCUCGUUUUCAACUGCGGUCCUCAAGCGUACCCAGCGUGCCCCUGCACUACUCUAUGGUCAGCGCUACAAAAGAUUACUUCGGCCACGAGCGUCACCUGUUAAAGGAGCGACGACUACUGCUUCUACAUUCCCUCGCCAGUGGAGCCCUGCUGGUAGACUGGACUUGUCUCCUCGCCCUGCACUACUACUGGUUCUGCAUUCUAGUUUUCAACUGCGGUCGUCAAGCAUACCCAGCGUGCCCCUGCACUAUUCUACGGUCAGCGCUCCAAAAGAUUACUUCGGCCACGAGCAUCACCUGUUCCAGGAGCUACUACUGCUUCUACAUUCCCUCGCCAGUGGAGCCCUGCUGGUAGACUGGACUUGUCUCCUCGCCGUGCACUACUACUGGUUCUGCAUUCCCGUUUUCAACUGCGGUCCUCAAGCGUACCCAGCGUGCCCCUGCACUACUCUACGGUCAGCGCUACAAAAGUUUACUUCGGCCAGGAGAAUCAGCUGUUCCAGUAGCGACCACUUCCGCUUCUACAUUGGCUCGCCAGUGGUGUCCUGCUGGUAGAGUGGACUUGUCUCCUUGCCCUGCAGUACUACUGUGUGCCGCUACAGGUUCUGCAUUCCCGUUUUCAACUGCGGUCCUCAAGCGUACCCAGCGUGCCCCUGCACUACUCUACGGUCAGCGCUACAAAAGUUUACUUCGGCCAGGAGCAUCACCUGUUCCAGGAGCGACCUAUACUGCUUCUACAUUACCUCGCCAGUGGAGCCCUGUUGGUAGACUGGACUUGUCUCCUCGCCCUGCACUACUACUGGAAACCGUCGUUUACACGGGACUCGUAUUACGACUGUCCUCCACUGUUCAACAAAUACGCACUCUGCCGCUACAGGUUCUGCAUUCUCGUUUUCAACUGCGGUCGUCAAGCAUACCCAGCGUGCCCCUGCACUACUCUACGGUCAGCGCUACGAAAGAUUACUUCGGCCACGAGCAUCACCUGUUCCAGGUGCGACCACUACUGCUUCUACAUUCCCUCGCCAGUGGCGUACUGUUGGUAGAGUGGACUUGUCUCCUCGCCCUGCACUACUACUGGUUCUGCAUUCCCGUUUUCAACUGCGGUCCUCAAGCGUACCCAGCUUGCCCCUGCACUACUCUACGGUCAGCGCUACAAAAGAUUACUUCGGCCACGAGCGUCACCUGUUAAAGGAGCGACCACUACUGCUUGUACAUACCCUUGCCCGUGGCGUCCUGUUGGUAGAGUGGACUUGUCUCCUCGCCCUGCACUACUACUGUGCUGCACUUCCGUUUUCGACUGCGGUGGGUACUUUGCAGACCCCUGCACAUCGACUCUCCAUUCUGCACUCAUAAAGAGAUUACUUCUGGCACCAGCAUCAGCCGUUCCAUGAGUGACUGCUAUUGCUUCUAUGUUCUCGCGCGGACGGCGUCUUGCUGGCAGAUUGGACUUAGCGUGGUGCCUUUGCACUUAAUUCUGGUUCCCAGUGUUUGCUGUCGCUUGUGGCGCAAGAGAAAUGUUUCAGCACGCUCAUUUACUAGAACAUCCCUAGCCUUGCCUCACGAGCAACCAUCUUCAGCAAGGGCGCCCUGCCGCAUCCUCUAUACAACAAGCUUCCUCAUACUCGUGAACGCGUCGCACGUCUGUCAUGGCGGUGUCCUGCACUGUGUUGACGGCGUGUUCAUGUCGUCACCGUCCCGCGACCGUCUAUCCGAUGUGCUCCUGCAGUUCGCUGUUGCCCUUUUCCGCAGGCAUAUUUAAUAGGUUUAGUGAAGCAAGCUUCUCUACUUUAGGAGUGGUACGUUGCUCAGCGAAUGGAUGGCGCUUCUAGAAAUCGGGUUAAUACGAAGCAGAUAAGUAAAAAAGGUUUGCUUACGUGGACGCCACUCAGUCCUUAAUAAGGACUGUCAACGUUUUCAUGAGCCAAUCUGUAAAUUUUUGGUGGCGAGAGUAAUGGACGUUCAUUGACAUUGUGCACUUUUGUAGUAGUAGUAUGCAUGUCACCUACUGUGUGCUGUUUUUUUCGAUCGAGAACGUGCAUGGGCUCCUCUGCUAGCUGGCGCACUUCGAAUUUUUAUAUUUUGGUAGCAUUUCCAGCGUCAAAGUUGCUUCCCUUUUCCCAGUUCAUUCCUGUUGAGAGAAAUAAACUUUAUUGUGAGACCAGGCUUCUUGAGCCCGGUGGGUGGCCCCCUCAGUCCAGGUAGCCAUGGCUCGCUGCCGCCGCCCGAGCCCUGUACACCAAUCGUAGCUGGCUGUCAGGGUCUUGCGUCACCAGCAGAGCCUCCCACUAAUCCUCUGAUCCUUCCUCCAUAUCCGCUUCUUCCUGCUUGGUGGUGAUGAUGACGCUGGCACUUGGCGGUUAUUUCUGCACUCCAGCAUCAUGUGGCGCAAGGCGUUGGGCGUGUCCGGCGGGCAGAACUCGCAGUCUCGCCCGUAGGUGCCCGAUACAUGGCGUGCAGCAGUGUUCCUUGCGGGUCGGUUCCAGCCUGCAGUCUGCUCCAGGUUACCGCUUGCUCCCUACUCAUAGUCUUAUGCACAGGCGGGUAGCGAUCGACGCCUCUGCUUCCUGUAGUGCGCCAUGAUGUCCGAGUACUUCAUGGACAUUCGUUCAUCAACCUCGUCCCAGUCGUUGGUCCGUGUUCUCUGCGUGUCGGAGAUGGCUCGGCGUGCAUGAUGUCGAGCCGCGGCGUGCGCCACCUGGUUCCCCGCGAGAGAGACUCGUGUUCCGGCGUCCAGAGGAUUUGUGCUGUUUCAAUCUAGGUGUUGGUCAGGAUCUGAAGUGCUGCCUUUCCGAUCCUUCCGUUCACUACCUCCUGCAUGCUUCUUGCGAGUCCGUCGCCACGGUAACCAGGGUCUUCUUGCACGUUGCGAUGGCCAGGGUUAUGCCCAGCUCCUCCGCUGUGCUCGCGUCCUUGGCACGUAUGGAUAUGGCUAUAAGUUGUUCGCCCUUCUCGUCGACCACGCUGAUUGCAAAUCGGUCCUUCUGUACGCAGCUGCGUCCGUGUAUCUCACAUUUUCUUCUUUGCUGUUUGUGCGUUCUAGUGUGUGCUUGAGCAC